GACGAACGCUGGCGGCGUGCUUAACACAUGCAAGUCGAGCGGUAAGGCUCCUUCGGGAGUACACGAGCGGCGAACGGGUGAGUAACACGUGAGUAAUCCGCCCUUCACUUCGGGAUAACCGCCGGAAACGGUGGCUAAUACCGGAUACGACGCACUCUCGCAUGGGAUGUGCGUGGAAAGUCUUCUCGGUGAAGGAUGUGCUCGCGGCCUAUCAGCUUGUUGGUGAGGUAACGGCUCACCAAGGCUUCGACGGGUAGCCGGCCUGAGAGGGUGACCGGCCACACUGGGACUGAGACACGGCCCAGACUCCUACGGGAGGCAGCAGUGGGGAAUAUUGGACAAUGGGCGAAAGCCUGAUCCAGCAACGCCGCGUGAGGGAUGACGGCCUUCGGGUUGUAAACCUCUUUCAGCAGGGACGAAGCGCAAGUGACGGUACCUGCAGAAGAAGCACCGGCCAACUACGUGCCAGCAGCCGCGGUAACAC
rnacentral:rRNA from 1 species